rnacentral:rRNA from 1 species
CAGCAGUGAGGAAUUUUGCGCAAUGGGGGAAACCCUGAUGCAGCAACGCCGCGUGGAGGAUGACGCAUUUCGGUGUGUAAACUCCUUUUAUUAGGGAAGAGAAAUGACGGUACCUAAUGAAUAAGCACCGGCUAACUCCGUG